rnacentral:rRNA from 1 species
UACGGGGGGGGCAAGCGUUGUUCGGAAUUACUGGGCGUAAAGGGCUCGUAGGCGGCCAACUAAGUCGGAUGUGAAAUCCCCAGGCUUAACCUGGGAACUGCAUCCGAUACUGGAUGGCUUGAAUCCGGGAGAGGGAUGCAGAAUUCCAGGUGUAGCGGUGAAAUGCGUAGAUAUCUGGAGGAAUACCGGUGGCGAAGGCGGCAUCCUGGACCGGCACUGACGCUGAGGCGCGAAAGCUAGGGGAGCGAAUGGG